rnacentral:rRNA from 1 species
UNGUCUGUGAAAUUCCGGGGCUUAACUCCGGGCGUGCAGGCGAUACGGNCACGACUAGAGUGCUGUAGGGGUAACUGGAAUUCCUGGUGUAGCGGUGAAAUGCGCAGAUAUCAGGAGGAACACCGAUGGCGAAGGCAGGUUACUGGGCAGUUACUGACGCUGAGGAGCGAAAGCAUGGGGAGCGAACAGGAUUAGAUACCCUGGUAGUCCAUGCUGUAAACGGUGGGCGCUAGGUGUGGGCUGUGUGUUUGCAGUCUGUGCCGUAGCUAACGCAUUAAGCGCCCCGCCUGGGGAGUACGGCCGCAAGGCUAAAACUCAAAGGAAUUGACGGGGGCCCGCACAAGCGGCGGAGCAUGUGGAUUAAUUCGAUGCAACGCGAAGAACCUUACCUGGGUUUGACAUGCACCAGAUCGGCGUAGAGAUACGUUUUCCCUUGUGGUUGGUGCACAGGUGGUGCAUGGUUGUCGUCAGCUCGUGUCGUGAGAUGUUGGGUUAAGUCCCGCAACGAGCGCAACCCUUGUCUUAUGUUGCCAGCACAACUUUGGUGGGGACUCAUGAGAAACUGCCGGGGUCAACUCGGAGGAAGGUGGGGAUGACGUCAAAUCAUCAUGCCCUUUAUACCCAGGGCUUCACACAUGCUGCAAUGGUCGGUACAACGGGUUGCGGCACUGUGAAGUGAAGCUAAUCUCUUAAAGCCGGCCUCAGUUCGGAUUGGGGUCUGCAACUCGACCCCAUGAAGUCGGAGUCGCUAGUAAUCGCAGAUCAGCAACGCUGCGGUGAAUACGUUCCCGGGCCUUGUACACACCGCCCGUCACGUCAUGAAAGUUGGUAACACCCGAAGCCCAUGGCCUAACCACCGCUUGUGUGGUGG